GUUUGAUCCUGGCUCAGAACGAACGCUGGCGGCAUGCCUAACACAUGCAAGUCGAACGAACCUUCGGGGUUAGUGGCGCACGGGUGCGUAACGCGUGGGAACCUGCCUUUAGGUUCGGAAUAACAGUUAGAAAUGACUGCUAAUACCGGAUAAUGUCUUCGGACCAAAGAUUUAUUGCCUUUAGAUGGGCCCGCGUUGGAUUAGAUAGUUGGUGGGGUAAUGGCCUACCAAGUCGACGAUCCAUAGCUGGUCUGAGAGGAUGAUCAGCCACACUGGGACUGAGACACGGCCCAGACUCUACGGGAGGCAGCAGUGGGGAAUAUUGGACAAUGGGCGAAAGCCUGAUCCAGCAAUGCCGCGUGAGUGAUGAAGGCCUUAGGGUUGUAAAGCUCUUUUACCAGGGAUGAUAAUGACAGUACCUGGAGAAUAAGCUCCGGCUAACUCCGUGCCAGCAGCCGCGGUAAUACGGAGGGAGCUAGCGUUGUUCGGAAUUACUGGGCGUAAAGCGCACGUAGGCGGCUUUUCAAGUCAGGGGUGAAAUCCCGGGGCUCAACCCCGGAACUGCCCUUGAAACUGGAUGGCUAGAAUACUGGAGAGGUGAGUGGAAUUCCGAGUGUAGAGGUGAAAUUCGUAGAUAUUCGGAAGAACACCAGUGGCGAAGGCGACUCACUGGACAGUUAUUGACGGUGAGGUG
rnacentral:rRNA from 1 species